CUGGUUCUCCCCGAAAGCUAUUUAGGUAGCGCCUCGUGAAUUCAUCUCCGGGGGUAGAGCACUGUUUCGGCUAGGGGGCCAUCCCGGCUUACCAACCCGAUGCAAACUGCGAAUACCGGAGAAUGUUAUCACGGGAGACACACGGCGGGUGCUAACGUCCGUCGUGAAGAGGGAAACAACCCAGACCGCCAGCUAAGGUCCCAAAGUCAUGGUUAAGUGGGAAACGAUGUGGGAAGGCCCAGACAGCCAGGAUGUUGGCUUAGAAGCAGCCAUCAUUUAAAGAAAGCGUAAUAGCUCACUGGUCGAGUCGGCCUGCGC
rnacentral:rRNA from 1 species